rnacentral:rRNA from 1 species
AGCAGUGGGGAAUUUUCCGCAAUGGGCGAAAGCCUGACGGAGCAAUACCGCGUGAGGGAGGAAGGCUCUUGGGUCGUAAACCUCUUUUCUCAAGGAAGAAUCAAAUGACGGUACUUGAGGAAUCAGCAUCGGCUAACUCCGUGCCAGCAGCCGCGGUAAUACGGAGGAUGCAAGCGUUAUCCGGAAUGAUUGGGCGUAAAGCGUCCGCAGGUGGCAGCUCAAGUUUGCUGUCAAAGCCCCCAGCUUAACUGGGAAGAGGCAGUGGAAACUGGGCAGCUAGAGAGCAAUAGGGGUAGAGGGAAUUCCCGGUGUAGCGGUGAAAUGCGUAGAGAUCGGGAAGAACACCAGUGGCGAAAGCGCUCUACUAGGUUGCAUCUGACACUGAGGGACGAAAGCUAGGGGAGCGAAUGGGAUUAGAUACCCCAGUAGUCCUAGCCGUAAACGAUGGAUACUAGGCGUUGAGAGUAUCGACCCUCUCAGUGCCGGAGCCAACGCGUUAAGUAUCCCGCCUGGGGAGUACGCGCGCAAGCGUGAAACUCAAAGGAAUUGACGGGGGCCCGCACAAGCGGUGGAGUAUGUGGUUUAAUUCGAUGCAACGCGAAGAACCUUACCAGGGCUUGACAUGUCUGGAAUCUUGGGGAAACUCAAGAGUGCCGAAAGGAGCCAGAACACAGGUGGUGCAUGGCUGUCGUCAGCUCGUGUCGUGAGAUGUUGGGUUAAGUCCCGCAACGAGCGCAACCCUCGUGCUUAGUUGCCAUCAUUCAGUUGGGCACUCUAAGCAGACUGCCGGUGACAAACCGGAGGAAGGUGGGGAUGACGUCAAGUCAGCAUGCCCCUUACGUCCUGGGCGACACACGUACUACAAUGCCAUCGACAACGGGAAGCCAACCAGCGAUGGGGAGCAAAUCCCAGCAAACGAUGGCUCAGUUCAGAUCGCAGGCUGCAACUCGCCUGCGUGAAGGCGGAAUCGCUAGUAAUCGCCGGUCAGCAUACUGC